AGGGGAGUGAAAUAGAUCCUGAAACCGCAUGCAUACAAACAGUCGGAGCCUCGAAAGGGGUGACGGCGUACCUUUUGUAUAAUGGGUCAGCGACUUACGUUCAGUAGCAAGCUUAACCGAAUAGGGCAGGCGUAGCGAAAGCGAGUCCGAAUAGGGCGUUCAGUUGCUGGGCGUAGACCCGAAACCAGGUGAUCUAUCCAUGGCCAGGAUGAAGGUGCGGUAACACGUACUGGAGGUCCGAACCCACUAACGUUGAAAAGUUAGGGGAUGAGCUGUGGAUAGGGGUGAAAGGCUAAACAAACCUGGAAAUAGCUGGUUCUCUCCGAAAACUAUUUAGGUAGUGCCUCGUGUCUCACCUUCGGGGGUAGAGCACUGUCAUGGUUGGGGGGUCUAUUGCAGAUUACCCCGCCAUAGCAAACUCCGAAUACCGAAGAGUGCAAUCACGGGAGACAGACAUCGGGUGCUAACGUCCGGUGUCAAGAGGGAAACAACCCAGACCGCCAGCUAAGGUCCCCAAAUAUGGCUAAGUGGGAAACGAAGUGGGAAGGCUAAAACAGUCAGGAGGUUGGCUUAGAAGCAGCCACCCUUUAAAGAAAGCGUAAUAGCUCACUGAUCGAGUCGUCCUGCGCGGAAGAUGUAACGGGGCUAAGCCAUAUACCGAAGCUGCGGAUGCGUGCUUGCACGCAUGGUAGGAGAGCGUUCCGUAAGCCUGCGAAGGUGCCUUGUAAAGGGUGCUGGAGGUAUCGGAAGUGCGAAUGCUGACAUGAGUAGCGAUAAAGGGGGUGAAAGGCCCCCUCGCCGUAAGCCCAAGGUUUCCUACGCAACGUUCAUCGGCGUAGGGUGAGUCGGCCCCUAAGGCGAGGCAGAAAUGCGUAGCUGAUGGGAAGCAGGUCAAUAUUCCUGCACCAUUGUUAGAUGCGAUGGGGGGACGGAUCGCGGAAGGUUGUCCGGGUGUUGGAAGUCCCGGUCGCUGCAUUGGAGAAGGCGCUUAGGCAAAUCCGGGCGCAGGAUUCAAGGGUGUGGCGCGAGCUCCUUCGGGAGCGAAGCAAUUGGAAGUGGUUCCAAGAAAAGCCUCUAAGCUUCAGUCUAACGAUGACCGUACCGCAAACCGACACAGGUGGGCGAGAUGAGUAUUCUAAGGCGCUUGAGAGAACUCGGGAGAAGGAACUCGGCAAAUUGGUACCGUAACUUCGGGAUAAGGUACGCCCUGGUAGCUUGACUGGCCUGCGCCAGGAGGGUGAAGGGGUUGCAAUAAACUGGUG
rnacentral:rRNA from 1 species